rnacentral:rRNA from 1 species
UACAGAGGUCUCAAGCGUUGUUCGGAUUCAUUGGGCGUAAAGGGUGCGUAGGCGGCGCGGUAAGUCGGGUGUGAAGUUUCGAGGCUUAACUUCGAAACUGCAUUCGAUACUGCCGUGCUAGAGGACUGGAGAGGAGACUGGAAUUUACGGUGUAGCGGUGAAAUGCGUAGAUAUCGUAAGGAAGACCAGUGGCGAAGGCGGGUCUCUGGACAGUUCCUGACGCUGAGGCACGAAGGCCAGGGGAGCAAACGGG